UCCUACGGGAGGCAGCAGUAGGGAAUCUUCCGCAAUGGACGAAAGUCUGACGGAGCAACGCCGCGUGAGUGAUGAAGGCUUUCGGGUCGUAAAACUCUGUUGUUAGGGAAGAAUAAGUGCUAGUUGAAUAAGCUGGCACCUUGACGGUACCUAACCAGAAAGCCACGGCUAACUACGUGCCAGCAGCCGCGGUAAUACGUAGGUGGCAAGCGUUAUCCGGAAUUAUUGGGCGUAAAGCGCGCGCAGGUGGUUUCUUAAGUCUGAUGUGAAAGCCCACGGCUCAACCGUGGAGGGUCAUUGGAAACUGGGAGACUUGAGUGCAGAAGAGGAAAGUGGAAUUCCAUGUGUAGCGGUGAAAUGCGUAGAGAUAUGGAGAAACACCAGUGGCGAAGGCGACUUUCUGGUCUGUAACUGACACUGAGGCGCGAAAGCGUGGGGAGCGAACGGGAUUAGAUACCCCGGUAGUCCACGCCGUAAACGAUGGAUACUAGCUGUUGGAUUUUUUCAGUGGCUAAGCGAAAGUGAUAAGUAUCCCACCUGGGGAGUACGGUCGCAAGAUUAAAACUCAAAGGAAUUGACGGA
rnacentral:rRNA from 1 species